UACGUAGGGGGCAAGCGUUGUCCGGAUUUAUUGGGCGUAAAGAGCGUGUAGGCGGCUGGGUAGGUCCGUUGUGAAAACUCGAGGCUCAACCUCGAGACGCCGAUGGAAACCCUCCAGCUAGAGUCCGGAAGAGGAGAGUGGAAUUCCUGGUAUAGCGGUGAAAUACGCAGAUAUCAGGAAGAACACCCGUGGCUAAGGCGGCUCUCUAGUACGGUACUGACGCUGAGACGCGAAAGCGUGGGGAGCGAACAGG
rnacentral:rRNA from 1 species